AUUCUAUUGGAUGGGACAAGCCUGGUAAGCAGUUUCAGGUCUGUGAGGAGCAAGGAGGGACUUGAUGGUGAUAAAGGCACCAGGUCACAUGCCAGGACCUGCUGCAAGGAGGAGGCUAUUGUCAGCCUGUUCUGCUCCAGGGACAAAACGGG